UGCAUCACUAUUUUAGUGGUUGGGGAUGUUCGUUUAUUGAAGCUCGAAGACACAGAGGAAGAAAAACAGCAACAACACGGAGAGGGAAUCAAACAGGAGGCAGAGCAGCAAUCAAAGGACAGCAAAAAGGUUUCAUCUCAUGUUGCCAAGUCCAGAAAUCUGGCUCAGACCAGACUCCUAUGGACCCAAAAACACUUCUGGAUUGUUGAAUAAUUAGUUUAAUGGCAACUGAUCUGUAUAGUUCAGAGUAGAGGUCGACCGAUAUAUCGGCUGGCCGAUAUAUUGGACUGAUAUUUAGCAUUUUUUAAUGUAUCGGCAUCGGCCGAUAUCCGAGUGCACUACGCCGAUUUACAGACAGGCACGUCUGCGGGCAGCCCAGUGUUAUUGUUGCAGUGGAAUACGUGACCUAUGCUGCCUUGUACAGGACCCCAGCCAGAAGUUUUGGAAGAGUCCUGGGAGAAAACGUAAUUGCUGUCUGAUGGAUGAACAAAAAUCUAAUCCUGUAUGGCAGCAUUUCACCAAGCCAACACCAGGAAAAGCCAGGUGCAAUAUCUGCAGCAGACUGGUGAGCUUGGGAGCUGAAGAAGGAGUUUGCCGCUAUAUUGUGCACUAAAAGAGAUUCUGAUGCUGCUAUUUUUAUUGUUUAUAAGUUUAAGUUGUUUACAAGUUGUAUUGUGUUUUUGUUAAGUUUAUAUUUAUAUUUACACAAGUCAGUAUUCAAUAAAUGCUAAGUUGAGAAA